rnacentral:rRNA from 1 species
AUUGAACGCUGGCGGCAGGCUUAACACAUGCAAGUCGAGCGGGGUGAUGGUGCUUGCACUAUCACUUAGCGGCGGACGGGUGAGUAAUGCUUAGGAAUCUGCCUAUUAGUGAGGGACGACAUCUCGAAAGGGAUGCUAAUACCGCAUACGUCCUACGGGAGAAAGCAGGGGAUCACUUGUGACCUUGCGCUAAUAGAUGAGCCUAAGUCGGAUUAGCUAGUUGGUGGGGCAAAGGCCUACCAAGGCGACGAUCUGUAGCGGGUCUGAGAGGAUGAUCCGCCACACUGGGACUGAGACACGGCCCAGACUCCUACGGGAGGCAGCAGUGGGGAAUAUUGGACAAUGGGGGGAACCCUGAUCCAGCCAUGCCGCGUGUGUGAAGAAGGCCUUAUGGUUGUAAAGCACUUUAAGCGAGGAGGAGGCUCUUUUGGUUAAUACCCAAGAUGAGUGGACGUUACUCGCAGAAUAAGCACCGGCUAACUCUGUGCCAGCCGCCGCGGUAA